AGGCGCCUGUCUGUCAUUGCCCUUCCCGUAAUGUCCUGCUCCAGAGAAACCAGGAGCUGGGAGAAAUCUUCCCUGUCCCACGGAACGCCCCCAGUGCUUGUUCCUAAGGGGACAAGACCCCCAGACCUCCCAUUCAGAGGCCUGCUGCCUCAACACCCAUGUGGCACCCGCCCAAGCUGAAGGAUAAUAAAGAGAGAAAGACAGAAAAGGAAAGGACCCAAGCCUGCAAGAGGGAAUGGAGAGGAGAUGCCGGCCAGGGGGCUGUGGGAGCCCAAUAGAUUUCUCUGGAACACCAAUAAAUUUUAAAACAAACCCAGAAAGCUAAAGACAGCCCCUGGAAAGUGCUGGGAAAAUGGACCAUCGAUUUUAGACUUC